rnacentral:rRNA from 1 species
ACUCCUACGGGAGGCAGCAGUGGGGAAUUUUGCGCAAUGGGGGAAACCCUGACGCAGCAACGCCGCGUGAGUGAUGAAGGCCCUUGGGUCGUAAAGCUCUGACAGAGGGAAAGAAAUGUGGGUGGCUAAUAUCCAUUCCACUUGACGGUACCCUCAAAGGAAGCACCGGCUAACUCCGUGCCAGCAGCCGCGGUAAUACGGAGGGUGCGAGCGUUGUUCGGAUUUAUUGGGCGUAAAGCGCGUGUAGGCGGUUUUAUAAGUCUGAUGUGAAAGCCCCGGGCUCAACCUGGGAAGUGCAUUGGAAACCGGCAGGCUUGAAUACGGGAGAGGGCAGUGGAAUUCCUGGUGUAGGGGUGAAAUCCGCAGAUAUCAGGAAGAACACCUGGAGCGAAGGCGGCUGCCUGGACCGAUAUUGACGCUGAGACGCGAAAGCGUGGGUAGCAAACAGGAUUAGAUACCCUGGUAGUCCACGCCGUAAACGAUGAGAACUAGGUGUCGCGGGUA